GCAGUGGUAGUUCAGUGGUAGAAUUCUUGUCUUCCAUGCAGGAGACCAGGUUUGAUUCCCAGCCAUUGUA
rnacentral:tRNA from 1 species